UGGGGAAUUUUGGACAAUGGGCGCAAGCCUGAUCCAGCCAUGCCGCGUGCAGGAUGAAGGCCUUCGGGUUGUAAACUGCUUUUGUACGGAACGAAAAGACUCUGGUUAAUACCUGGGGUCCAUGACGGUACCGUAAGAAUAAGCACCGGCUAACUACGUGCCAGCAGCCGCGGUAAUACGUAGGGUGCGAGCGUUAAUCGGAAUUACUGGGCGUAAAGCGUGCGCAGGCGGUUAUAUAAGACAGAUGUGAAAUCCCCGGGCUCAACCUGGGAACUGCAUUUGUGACUGUAUAGCUAGAGUACGGCAGAGGGGGAUGGAAUUCCGCGUGUAGCAGUGAAAUGCGUAGAUAUGCGGAGGAACACCGAUGGCGAAGGCAAUCCCCUGGGCCUGUACUGACGCUCAUGCACGAAAGCGUGGGGAGCAAACAGG
rnacentral:rRNA from 1 species